UACGGAGGGUGCAAGCAUUAAUCGGAUUUAUUGGGCGUAAAGGGCGCGUAGGCGGAAAGAUAAGUCAGAUGUGAAAUCCCGGGGCUCAACCUCGGAACAGCAUUUGAAACUAUCAUUCUAGAGGGUAGGCGGAGAAAACGGAAUUCCACAAGUAGCGGUGAAAUGCGUAGAUAUGUGGAAGAACACCGGUGGCGAAGGCGGUUUUCUAGCUUACUCCUGACGCUGAGGCGCGAAAGCAAGGGGAUCAAACAGG
rnacentral:rRNA from 1 species